UUAAAUAUUAAUAACCAAUCGAGCUGGUAUAUAAAGCAAACCCGAAACUUCUCUCAGCAAGUGCAACUUCUGGCAAGUGUCUUAAAGUACUUAAUUUAAAAUGCAAGCUGUUCUCUUGAUCACCGUUGUGUUGGCGUUCUUUGCCUUGGCGUUCGCCAACCCCUCGCCCAAUCCCAAUCCGAUGCCAAGACCAAGACCUCAAUAUUGGAAUUACGGAUAUGGAAUGUCAAUGCCUUACUACGGAAUGGGCUAUGGUUACUACUUCUAAUUGCUGUCAAGUUCAACCCCUUUCUGUGAACCACCGUUUUUGCAAAUUUUUUUAAUACUUAUUUAGGUUUUUAAAUGACGUUUCACCAAACUCAGAAUAUUAGCAACCCGUUAUGUUUUAGAUUUCUUUUAUCUCUGCCACUGUGGCUAACAAUUAGUAAACCUAACAGUUUCUUUUAAAUCUUUUA